rnacentral:rRNA from 1 species
AACGAACGCUGGCGGCAUGCCUAACACAUGCAAGUCGAACGAACCCUUCGGGGUUAGUGGCGCACGGGUGCGUAACGCGUGGGAAUCCGCCCUUUGCUUCGGAAUAACUCAGGGAAACUUGUGCUAAUACCGGAUGAUGUCUUCGGACCAAAGAUUUAUCGGCAAGGGAUGAGCCCGCGUAGGAUUAGGUAGUUGGUGGGGUAAAGGCCUACCAAGCCGACGAUCCUUAGCUGGUCUGAGAGGAUGAUCAGCCACACUGGGACUGAGACACGGCCCAGACUCCUACGGGAGGCGGCAGUGGGGAAUAUUGGACAAUGGGCGCAAGCCUGAUCCAGCAAUGCCGCGUGAGUGAUGAAGGCCCUCGGGUCGUAAAGCUCUUUUACCAGGGAUGAUAAUGACAGUACCUGGAGAAUAAGCUCCGGCUAACUCCGUG